rnacentral:lncRNA from 1 species
CAGAAUUCUCUGCCUUCAUCAGGGAAAUCAGCAAAAUAAAGAACGAUCCUGGGUUCAUCUUUGGGUCAAAAGUCACACCUAAUACAAAAGACGCUACGCCAAGGUUCACACCUCAGACGUACUCUAAAGUCAACGUCCAUAAGACGGCUGUUGAACAGCAAACUGAAGACAGCAGUCAACAACAAAAUCUGUGUAUCCUACACAAGACAAAGCAUACCUUGAAUGAAUGCCGAGCAUUCCGAGCCAAACCAAUCGAGGAACGCAAGGAACUGUUAAGACAAAACAAUGUGUGCUACAAGUGUUGUGAGUCAACCACACACAGAAGUCGGGACUGCAACGCAAGUAUCAGUUGUAACGAGUGUGGAAGUGAACGACAUAACACAGCACUUCACAUCACUAGACCACAACAAUCUGAAACUUCCCAGUUUAGCUCACCCAGACAAGCCUACGGCGGGGAGCAGACAGAGUCAGCUGAAACAAAGUUAACCUCUGUAAGUUCGAUCUGCACAGAGAUCUACAAAGAUCAUAAGAGCGAGAAAUCUUAUGCCAAGAUAUUACCUGUGGACGUGUACCACAAGGACAAGAC